GUCAGAUUAGGNNGUUGGUGGGGUAAAAGCCUACCAAGCCUUCGAUCUGUAGCUGGUCUGAGAGGACGACCAGCCACACUGGGACUGAGAGACGGCCCAGACUCCUACGGGAGGCAGCAGUGGGGAAUUUUGGACAAUGGGCGCAAGCCUGAUCCAGCCAUGCCGCGUGCGGGAAGAAGGCCUUCGGGUUGUAAACCGCUUUUGUCAGGGAAGAAAUCCUUUGAGCUAAUACCUCGGGGGGAUGACGGUACCUGAAGAAUAAGCACCGGCUAACUACGUGCCAGCAGCCGCGGUAAUACGUAGGGUGCGAGCGUUAAUCGGAAUUACUGGGCGUAAAGCGUGCGCAGGCGGUUGUGCAAGACAGGUGUGAAAUCCCCGGGCUUAACCUGGGAACUGCACUUGUGACUGCACGGCUUGAGUGCGGCAGAGGGGGAUGGAAUUCCGCGUGUAGCAGUGAAAUGCGUAGAUAUGCGGAGGAACACCGAUGGCGAAGGCAAUCCCCUGGGCCUGCACUGACGCUCAUGCACGAAAGCGUGGGGAGCAAACAGGAUUAGAUACCCUGGUAGUCCACGCCCUAAACGAUGUCAACUGGUUGUUGGGAGGGUUUCUUCUCAGUAACGUAGCUAACGCGUGAAGUUGACCGCCUGGGGAGUACGGCCGCAAGGUUG
rnacentral:rRNA from 1 species